GACGAACACUGGCGGCGUGCCUAAUACAUGCAAGUCGACCUUAGUGGCGAACGGGGGAGUAACAAGUGGGUAACGUGCCCAUAAGAAGGGGAUAACACUUGGAAACAGGUGCAAAAACCGGAUACUGAUGUCUGUACCCGCUGUGCAUUAGCUAGUUGGAGAGGUAACGGCUAACCAAGGCGACGAUGCAUAGCCGAACUGAGAGGGUGAGCGGCCACACUGGAACUGAGACACGGCCCAAACGCCGACGGGAGGCAGCAGUAGGGAAUAUUCGGCAAGGGACGAAAGCCUAACCGAGCAACGCCGCGUGAGUGAAGAAGGUUUUCGGAUCGUAAAGCUCGGUUGUCAGAGAAGCGGUAUCUAACCAGAAAGCCACGGCUAACUACGUGCCAGCAGCCGCGGUAAUAC
rnacentral:rRNA from 1 species